rnacentral:rRNA from 1 species
UACGGAGGGAGCUAGCGUUGUUCGGAAAUACUGGGCGUAAAGCGCACGUAGGCGGCGCAGCAAGUCAGGGGUGAAAUCCCGGGGCUCAACCCCGGAACUGCCCUUGAAACUGCAGUGCUAGAAUCUUGGAGAGGCGAGUGGAAUUCCGGGUGUAGCGGUGAAAUGCGUAGAGAUCAGGCGGAACACCCGUGGCGAAGGCGGCCAGCUGGGCCGUCCCUGACGCUGAGGCGCGAAGGCGUGGGGAGCAAACAGG